rnacentral:rRNA from 1 species
GACGAACGCUGGCGGCGUGCCUAAUACAUGCAAGUAGAACGCUGAAGGAGGAGCUUGCUUCUCCGGAUGAGUUGCGAACGGGUGAGUAACGCGUAGGUAACCUGCCUGGUAGCGGGGGAUAACUAUUGGAAACGAUAGCUACUCCCGCAUAACAGUAGAUGUUGCAUGACAUUUGCUUAAAAGUUGCAAUUGCAUCACUACCAGAUGCACCUGCGUGGUAUUAGCUAGUUGGUGAGGUAACGGCUCACCAAGGCGAGGACACAUAGCGGACCUGAGAGGGGGGUCGGCCCACCUGGGACUGAGACCCGGCCCAGACUCCUACGGGAGGCAGCAGGAGGGAAUCUUCGGCAAUGGGCGGAAGUCUUACCGAGAAACGCCGGGGGAGUGAAAAAGGUUUUCGGAUCGGAAAGCUCGGUUGUAAGGGAAGAACGAGCGUGAGAGUGGAAAGUUCACAUUGUGACGGUAUCUAACCAGAAAGCGACGGCUAACUACGUG